GAUGCGGCUGGGUUGACCGCUUCAGGAAAUUCGAAUCUUAAAGUACGUUCCAUAUUAGGCCUGUUCGUCACGGACCUGCAAAAGGGACCGGGAGAGGUGCUCCCGGCGUUAGCACUCCGACGCCCAAGUUAGAACACCUCAAAGAUUCGGAAAUAAAUACGUUCGAGAGAAAAUGAUGUUUCAAGAUCAAGAAUACUUACCUUGAGGUCAAGUGAUGAACCCUCUAUUUAUAGUAGAGAAUUUUCGGAUGUCACUCCUAUUAUCCAAUUCUGUUAAUAGAGUCGUUUGAUGUCCAUGGCAGUUUAUGAGUCUUAGUGGUUAAGUUAUGAAGAUAUUUCAUAUGCCUUAGUGUUUAAGUCAUGAGCUGGCACCUUCAGCUCGGCACUCAUCACUCGGCGCUCGAUACUCGACGGCUCGUCACUCGACACGUCAGCUACUUUUCACUCGGCACUCG
rnacentral:lncRNA from 1 species